AUGCGAGAUGAGCACAUCGACAUCGUUGCUGUCCAGGAGACCAUGCGUCGCGAUUUCUCGCUCCCCGAGCUCGACCGUUUGAGCUCCCACCUCUUUGCGUGGCAUUGGCUCCCUUCUAGUGGGAGCUCAGGCCACUCGGGUGGCAUCCUUUUAGGAGUGAAGGAUGCCACCUUCGAGGUGGGUAGCAUGGACCGGGGGGAAUUCUUCGUCAGCAUGGAAUUAUUCGAGAGAGAUCUCAACUUCAAGUGGGAGAUCAUCAUUGUAUACGGGCCUACCGACCAUAGUCGGUCGGCCGCCUUCCUCGAGGAGCUUCACCGAAAGAUCUCGGCGGCCUCCCUCCCCGUGGUUGUGGGUGGCGACUUUAACUUGCUGCGCGUGGCGGAAGACAAGAGCAACGACAAUGUUUGCUUUGCCCGGAUGCAGAUGUUUAAUGACUUCAUCGCUGACCUCGCCCUUCGGGAGAUUGACAGGAUUGGUGCCCGGUUCACCUGGACCAAUCGGCAAGCCGCCCCGACCCAGUCCGUCUUGGACAGGGUCCUAGUGUCCCCGGAUUGGAACCUCCGUUGC
rnacentral:rRNA from 1 species